rnacentral:rRNA from 1 species
AUGGGUGAUUUUAAUGAUAUUCUUGAUCCCCCGGAGAAGAAUACUAAUGUUGUUUCAAACAAUCAUCGUAUGGCUAGCUUUUCUAAUCAUGUUAAACAAUGUGGCUUAACAGAUAUGGGUUAUAAUGGUGCUACUUUUACUUGGUGCAAUAAACACUUAACUGACAUGCCUAUCUAUACACGUUUUGAUCGUUUUUGUAAUGUUGAAUGGUGUAGCGCUUUUCCUAAUACUUCGGUUUAUAAUUUUCCUAUCAUGUAUAGUGAUCAUGCUCCUAUCUUGACUAUUUCCAAGCCUACUGUUGUUAAAACUAGGAAAACUUUUAAGUUUGAAAACUGGUGGCUUUUUGAAAAUGAUUAUCAAGAGAUGGCAAAAAAUAAUUGGACUGACACUAAUGACAAACCAUCAUGCAGGGUCAUAUGUUGGAAAUAA